rnacentral:lncRNA from 1 species
AAAUUAUAUAUAUUUAUCAUUCUUGUGUAUUUAUAUAUAUUUAUAUAUAUAUAUAUAUAUUUAUUGUAAGAAGUAUAUGUAUUGUGCAGUCUGAACAAUUUAACUGCAUAUUCUUGAAUGGGUGGAAUGGAAUCACAGUAAUGUGCAAGAAAGACAAAAGAUUUUGAACAUUGUUUAUUCUUCUUCAAAAAAUUGAAGAAAAACAUGCGAUGACGUGGAGCAUAUUUUAUAAGUGAACAUGAAUCAAUUCAAUCAUGCUGGUGAUGAUAAUUGAUGAUAAAGUGAGUAUGAUACUGAAAAGAAUCAUUCAUUUAUUUGGAUUGACCAGUCAUUUGUUUAUCAACAACAGAAAAAAAUACAAAAUAAAAUAAUAAAAUAAUACAGAUUGGAGUAAAUAGCAUACGCCAAUGUAUAUAUGCUCAUCCGUUGUUUUAACUUUCAUUAAAAUUUAUAGUAUCCCAAAUAGCAUGUAAUUGUGGGUUCACAUCUUUACAUUUCAGAAAACACAUAUAUCGUUUCAUGUUUUCCUUUAAAACAUAAAUAAACAGAAUUUGAAUAAAUUGAAAAACUUAAACAUAUUUCAAUGUUUUUAACGCUGAACUAAAACCUGAUGACUUACACUGGUUUUACAACUUAAUAGUUGUGAUAUCCAUGAAUUCACAUAGAAUUGGCUAUUUUUUUGAAUUGAAUUUGGAUUUUUUUUCAUAAAAAGACGGUUUUAAUUUGUCGAAAUCACAAGUCAUGGGAUUAAUUCAUGUGAUGAAAAGUCUAAAAAUCACAAAUGCUGAAUGAAAACAUGUUGGUGAUUUUGAAGUUGGUUUAAUAAUUUGUAGAUUUUAUAGAGUAAAAUUGCAAUUUAAAAACGAACAUAAUAAAUCUUAUUAAUCUUUAGAUAUACUUACAAGGAAUCUCAGAGACCGUGCAUAUCAGAAUAUUCCAUUCUGAUGCAAACCCAUGAAUGAACUAACUAGCUGGCACCCAUGAAUCAAACCCCCUUUUAGAAUCAUUCAACCAGACUUGUUCAACAUAACAAAAAGGAUCAGCACACAAACACACACACAGACCUGAACCAAACACCAGACAACAACAACAUCAAAUUAAAUAAAAAUAAAAAUACGCACACACACACACACACAUAUAUAUAUAUAUACACACAUAAAAAUAAAGAAAAAAAGACAAGACAAAAAAGGACUAGAACGAACACAGUGCAGUGUCGGCGGAUGAACACAAACCCAAAUCAUUCAUCCAAUUAUGGAUGAAUGGGAUACUGCGAGCCCUAACGCAAGCCAAGCCAAGCAGCGGCGAAACAGAGUGCAGGCGCGCCAAACACAGACUGCAGCUCAGAGCGAGAGAGAGAGAGAGAGACAGAGAGAGAGAGUGUGUGUGUGUUGCUGUUGCGGUGCUGAAUUGUGGAGGAGGGGGAGGAGAAGAAGAUGGAAGUGGAAGGCGGAGCGAUUCCUCAUGUGAGAGAGAGAGAUAGGAAAGAAAAAGAAAAAGAAACAACAACAACAACAACAACAGAGAGGGAGAGAGGGGGAGAGAGAGAGCGAGAGCGACACAAACACCCAGACAAACAAACAAACAAACAAACGAAUAAACAAUCAAAGAAACAAACACAAACAGGUAGUAGACAGACAGACAGACAGAACAGAACCGCCAUAUGCCACAUGAAUGAAGAAGCUCCCAGUUUGGCCCCCCAUCCCCUCCCCAAAUCUUUGCCGAUCUUUGCUCUUCUGACUCCGCGUGAUGCCAUUCCUGCUCUCUCUGCUCGUCACGUCCUUC